CCCAAAGCCGAGACCAUAGGCUGAUGCUGUCCCUGACUCCCCUGUGCCGGGUGCUCUCUGGCAGACAGGCUUCUCUGCCCGCCACUCUCCACACGCUCCCAGGACAUUCCGGCCCGCGAGGAACAUGCCCCAUGUGCAAAUCCCUCAGGGUGAAUCCAGCAUUCCAAGAAUCCUCAGCCUCAAAAGUUCUGAGGCAGUGUGAUGUCAUGGGAAGAGCACGCGGCUGCCCUGGGGAGUCGCCAGGCUCCGCGUGAACCUGGUGGAGUGUUUCCAGGGGAAGGCCCUCGCCCUUCCGCUCGGCCUGCCAAGCCCUGCAGUCUCCCAGAUCCGGCCCAUGGACCCUCACUACAGCCUGCUGGUGGCUCUGGGCAUCCCCCGAGCUUCACAGUAGUUCGUGGUAGUUUGAAGUGUGGACUUUGGAGCCAGAUCCCCAGAGUUCAAAUCCUGACGCUACACUUUUAGCUGUGCAACUUUGGGCAAGUUCCUUAACUGCUCUGUGCCUUAGCUUCUUCCCCUAUAAAAUGGGAACAAAUAGAACACCCAUCUCAUAGGGUUCUUGUGAGUUUUAAAGGACUUGAUACAAGUGCUAUAUUAGUGUUUGUUUGUAAUAUUAUUAUGCCAUGGGUUUUCCAAGCAACAGAGCAUGAAU
rnacentral:lncRNA from 1 species